CUGAAGUCGGACGCCCAACCGACUGCGCCACCCAGGCGCCCCAAGAGCGUGCAAUUCCAACAAGUUCCCAGGAGGUACUGAUGUCUCGGGGGCCUCCCACCUCCCACCUCCCAGAGUUCUGGAGGCUACUUCAAAAGAUGCCAAGGUAGCAGGAUGGCCUCCUCUCCAUACCUCUGCUCACCUGCUUCUCCCACCAGGGAAUGCCUCUCCCAGCCCCUUUGUGUCUCCCCUUCCUAUCUGCCCUUCAAGCCCAAGGGCCGUGCGCCUUCUCCAGGAAGCCUGCCGAGACCACCCCGCCCUCUGUGAUCUUUCCUGUCUGAUCCUCUCCCCCGCCCUCAGGUUAGUCUUCCCUUCAAAAAGACAGAAGCACCCAAGGGACGCAGAAACACACGCCCACACAAAAGCUGGCCCACCCGUGUCCCUCGCAGCACCGUUCGCAACAACUAGAAAGCGGAAACGACCCACACGACCGUCCGUGGAUGAAGGGAGGAACAAAAUAUGGCAGGCGCAUCACAAUGGGAUAUUACGCAGCCAGGAAACGGAAGGGCGUGCCGGUACACGUUACGGCGCGGAGGGACCUCAAAACGCUGUGCCGGGCGAGGGCAAGCGCGUAGCGUAUCGUUUGCACCUGCGGAAUGCCCAGGAUCGGCAAAUCCACAGCGACAGGAAGCAGAUUAGCGGCUGCCGGGGGCCCUGGGAGGGCGACCGAAAAGUACAGGGUUUCUUUCGGGGGGCGAAGGACAUGUCCUAAAAAAUCGAUUGUGGCAACAGCUGCGCAACCCUGUGAACGUACCAAAAAAACUCUUGACUCGCACGCUUUCUUUUAUUCAUGUUUCUUUAUUUUUGAGAGAGAGAGACAGAACGUGAGUGGGGAAGGGCAGAGAGAGAGGGAGACACAGACUCCGAAGCAGGCUCCAGGCUCCGUGCUGUCAGCACAGAGCCCCACGCGGGGCUCGAACCCACGGACCGUGAGAUCGUGACCUGAGCCCAAGUCGGACGCUGAACCCACUGAGCCGCCCAGGCGCCCCGAGGUGUAUACUUUAAACAGGGGAAGUGUGUGGUAUGUGAAUUAGAUCGCAAUAAGGCUGUUACCGAAAAGAAAAAAAAAAAGGAGGACACGAGUGGCAGCGGCUGUGCCCCUGGGGCCCCGAGGAAAGGCCUGCUGUGGAGUCGCGACUCCCACGGCCUCCUUCUCUUGUGCAAAUGGCAGCUCAGAGGAGGAGCUUUGGACUGGAGUCAGCAGCUUGCUGUGUGUGCUGGGGCGAACCUACGCCCUCUCUGAGCCUCCAUCUCUCCCCUGGCUCCCCCGGGAGCGCUGAGAUGUAAUGCAGGAGGCGGCCGCGGUGCACGGAGGAGCCAGGAAGCCCCACGGCAGGAUUGUGUGUGAGGUCCGUAGCCCGGACCCCGGCCGGACAGCGGCGGUGGUAGGACGUCCCCACGGCUUCCGGCUCUGAGGGAGGAGGCAACCCCCUCGUGCUCUGUCUUCUAACGUCCCGGAGCCCGAGGGUUUUGAAACUGCGGAGAAUGACAGCAAAUUACCAGCUAAAAGCCCUGGGUUGUUGGAGGUGGGAAAGACAAGCCCUGGGAGCAGCUCAAGCCCACGGACACUCCUCAAGCGUGGAACACAUACUCUUUCCCCACCCCUGCCCGCGCUCCAAGGGGAUCUCAUGCCAAUUAGAAAAAGACACCCCUUCCUCCAGGAAGAAGCAGCUUCAUGCCAGGGGCAGGGGUUCAGCCCCCACCGUUCCCUUAGCCAAGAGCACUUGAGCACUGAACAACAUACACAACUAUACCGUGGUCUCAUGGCCGUGUACCUGUAAACCACCCCCCACCCCCCACCCACAGCCGGAUGCCUGGUCUCAGCAAGUGGCUGUGUCUUUCCUCCAUGGUGGUUUGUGCUGAGUCAAGUGGCCUGGCAGGAAACUUGCUUCCUGGAAUCUCCUCUCCUCUAGGAGUCUGAGUUAGAAUUCGCCGGCGAAGAAAUCUGUGCUUGGAGGGCCACCAUGGCUCGCGAUGGGAGGGACGGACACAGAAGUGCCAGCGGGGGCCAGCUUGUCCCCAUUCCUUCAUCUACAUGUCCUCCUCCUGACCCGCGGCCAGUGCUCCCUCCAGACUGCUGGCCCUGCUGACUCACAGUGACCCAGUAUUUCCACCGGAUGCUCGGCUGUGAUCUCACCGAGUGGAGGCUGCAAAGACAAGGCGGCCUUCCCUAGACUUCUGCCGGUGUCUACACUGGCCCCGGCCUCCUGCGCCAGCUGCUGGACCCGCCUGACUUCCAGCUUGUCCACGAGCUCCGCUGGUGCCUCUGCUACAGAGGGCUGGCUGGUGACGGUCCCCGGGUCCCCGUAAAACUUCCCGCUUUGGACCUUUACUUCCCAGACCCUCCCCCGGGGCAGUAAGGCUAAUUGCUGUGCUAUAAAACUCACAGUGGCUCUGCUGCUGAUGGAGCCCGAA